rnacentral:rRNA from 1 species
GGCAAUCCGGCGAGAGAUGGACCCGCGUCCAAUUAGCUAGUUGGUGAUGUAAUGGCCUACCAAGGCGACGAUUGGUAGCCGAACUGAGAGGUUGAUCGGCCACAUUGGGACUGAGAUACGGCCCAGACUCCUACGGGAGGCAGCAGUGGGGAAUAUUGCGCAAUGGGGGAAACCCUGACGCAGCAACGCCGCGUGAAGGAUGAAGGUUUUCGGAUCGUAAACUUCUUUGAUGGGGGACGAAACAAAUGACGGUACCCCAAAAACAAGCACCGGCUAACUCCGUGCCAGCAGCCGCGGUAAUACGGAGGGUGCAAGCGUUGUUCGGAAUUACUGGGCGUAAAGCGCGCGUAGGCGGUUUGCUCAGUCAGAUGUGAAAGCCCUCGGCUUAACCGGGGACGUGCAUUUGAAACUGGCAGACUUGAGUAUUGGAGGGGGUGGUGGAAUUCCCGGUGUAGAGGUGAAAUUCGUAGAUAUUAGGAGGAACACCAGUGGCGAAGGCGACUUCCUGGCUUGUAACUGACACUGAGGCGCGAAAGCGUGGGGAUCAAACAGGAUUAGAUACCCUGGUAGUCCACGCCGUAAACGAUGAGUGCUAGGUGUCGGGGGUAUCGACCCCCUCGGUGCCACAGCUAACGCAAUAAGCACUCCGCCUGGGGAGUACGGUCGCAAGACUGAAACUCAAAGGAAUUGACGGGGGCCCGCACAAGCGGUGGAGUAUGUGGUUUAAUUCGACGCAACGCGAAGAACCUUACCAAGGCUUGACAUCCUGUGACAGCUAUAGAAAUAUAGACUUCUUAGUUUACUAAGACACAGAGACAGGUGGUGCAUGUCGUCAGCUCGUGUCGUGAGAUGUUGGGUUAAGUCCCGCAACGAGCGCAACCCCUACAGCCAGUUGCCAGCACGUAAUGGUGGGAACUCUGGCAGAACUGCCGUUGACAAAACGGAGGAAGGUGGGGAUGACGUCAAAUCAUCAUGCCCCUUAUGUCUUGGGCUACACACGUACUACAAUGGCCUGAACAGAGGGAAGCAAAGCCGCAAGUUAAGCGAAUCCCUUAAAACAGGUCCCAGUUCGGAUUGUAGGCUGCAACUCGCCUACAUGAAGUCGGAAUCGCUAGUAAUCGCAGGUCAGCAUACUGCGGUGAAUACGUUCCCGGGCCUUGUACACACCGCCCGUCACACCAUGGGAGUGGGUAAUACCCGAAGCCGG